rnacentral:lncRNA from 1 species
GGAAGAUGAACCGAAUUCUAUAGGAACAAUGUAGCUUCCUCCACGAUGCUAAUUUUCAACUUUGGCGAGCUCUGCACUACAUUGGAUACGGAAAACUGUGUGUCUGCUCGUAAGCAAAGGUAUCCGAAAUGGUCUUAUCGCACGAUAACCAGUAGCGAUGAGUCGAUCUCGAACAGUUCUUGUUAAAAGGCUCCUGUAUACCCACCACUCUAUUUUUAUGAUUGUAUUGUAUGCAAUGGGUUUCCUUCUGACCAACCUUCAUUAUGCCUAACUUUCCCUAGCAAAUG